UAGCAAGUCGCGACAACGGACACCACUCCACUCUCCGGGCUCCACCACUCUCUGGCAAGUCGCGACAACGGACACCACUCCACUCUCCGUAACAAACUCCACGUGGCCCUAAACGGUCCCUGACGCCACUACUCUCCGUAACAAACUCCACGUGGUUCUGAACGGCCCACUACCAGGCGGUUACAGACAUCGCUGUCAAUCAGUUACACUCUCCGUCUAUAAAAAGGAACC
rnacentral:lncRNA from 1 species